AGAGUGCGUAACAGCUCACUGGUCAAGUGAUUCUGCGCCGAUAAUGUAGCGGGGCUCAAGUACACCGCCGAAGUUGUGGCAUGACACCGUAUAGCUGAGCCGUUAGUGGUUGAGGUGGUGUUGUGGGUAGGGGAGCGUCGUUGGGGUAGUGAAGCUGCGGGGUGACCCAGUGGUGGAACCUCAACGAGUGAGAAUGCAGGCAUGAGU
rnacentral:rRNA from 1 species